CUCGGUUCCAGCUUUUCAGCCAACGAACACGGCGGGAAUGAACACCAUGUUGCAUUGCACGACUCGGCCAUGGACGAAGGUCGAGAUUGCAGUUUCAUUCCCUUGUUCUUAUCAACCAAUCUUGGACACAUCUAUUUACAACCAGCUUAAACGCAAGCUGCUAUAAAGUACGAAGAAUGCUGUUCUGGGAGGAAUUCAAAAGAGGGCGGUUGCAACACGAACUGGCAUCAUCAUGAAGAAAAUCUCAGCAAUUUCGUUGCGAUACCACUUGGAGGCUCAACCAAAUGUCUAGAAAUGAUUUCAGAAAGAUACCAAUUGGAGGCUCAACCAAAUGUCUAGAAAUGAUUUCAGAAAGAUACCACUUGGAGGCUCAACCAAAUGUCUAGAAAUGAUUUCAGAAAGAUUCCUGCACCCUAAUCAUUGCAGUUGCCGCAGGUUAUGGCUGGGGCUUUUCUGAUGAUGGUUUGGUGAUGUCUGAUAGUAUUCUAGACUUCAUUGGUGAACUGCGGCUACAAAACGAAAGUGAAUGGAUCUCCGUUACAGAGGCCGUGAAAAGAAUUUUCUUGGAUAAGGUUCCUUGGAGAGCGUCUAGAGGUCUGAGCACGAGUAAUGCUGCGAUUUUCCAGUCAAGCGUCAGUCGAUUUGAGCUAGGAUCUGUUGCCUGGACGCCUACAGGGUUUCCUGCAGGUAUCACGCCUUGGACAGCAGCAUGGCAAGAUAGAUCGAAACCUUACCUGACCAUUCGUCUCAAAGAUGAAACAACUUCAACAUUUGAUUCAG